UUAGAUGAAAAAAAAACGAAACCUCAGCAAAUGUAACAGAAUUAAUUUGAAGAUGUUUUAUACUAUAUUUUUGUGGACUGCAUUAAAAAAGUUACUUCGUUUAAGAUUUAUGUUGUACAGUCGCUUAUUCAUCAAAGAAAUUGUGAACAUUUUGAGUUUCACCGUUUAGGUUAUAAAGUCCAAACACACGAAAAGUCCCAAUGUCCACAAGCACGUCGAACAACAACGGAUCGAACCGACAGUUCAGAUUGCUAAAUGCGUUGGAAGCUGGCAAUUUACAAAACAAGAUUUAGUGUUUGGGCAGUAAGGCAACAAGUCAUAUUUAUAGUAAAAGAGAGCUUCUCUAAAUUCGAAAAACGCACAGAAAUGUUCGGUCUUGCCAAUGCUGGUUACUUGAAGCUGAAGGAAAAGGAGAAGUAAAUUUGCAGACAGAGAUGUGUACAUUAACUUUAAAGAAUGUGCUUUAUGUUUCAAAAAUGCAUGGUAAUGGCGGUGCACGGUGAAUUUUCGUUUGCAAAAUGCAAAGAUCAUGAGAGACAGCGAUUGAAUUGCACAAGAUAUAUUAAUACCUUUAUUAUUCUAGUCUGUGAGAAAUUGUUUUGAAAGGUAUGGUACCCGGUGUGGAAAAUAUGAUUCUUCCACAGGAUGCCAAGUGCAGGACUUUCAUGCUCAGCCAAAGCCACCAACUACUGUGUCCAGUAGCUACCGGAGUAUGAAAUUGUUAAGUAUUCGGUGGCGGCCAAAGUUUGUCAUCUAUAUGAUUUAACUACGCGACUAGUAGUCGGAAGAUGAGAUAUUCUAUUUCAUGAAAAUCAUGAAGCAGUAGGCGACGAUAAAGCUGCUUUCAAUCUUUUCCCGGAGUCUGAUAGGAUUGGUCAAGAUUCAGCGAAACUGGUGGAAAUGACAGAUCUAGUGAAAGUUCGCAGUUCGAGAGUGCAACGGAAUCUGGUGAAAAAGGUAAGGACGAAAAGGACAAGGACGAAAACGAUGAGGAUACAACGAUUGAGGAAGAAAAAGAUGAAAUGACAGAUCUCAGUUCGAAAGUGCAACAGAAUCUGAUGAAAAAGGUAAGAACGAAGAGGAGGACGAAAACGAUGAGGAUACAAAGAUUGGGGAAGAAAAAGAUGAAAAAGAUAACAAAAAUGAGAUACGUGUAGGGCCUGGUCGGCAGAAGCUCAUCCGGACUGACAUGCCAACAUCCUAGGUGCCUAAGUAUCAAAAGAUGUCCCGAUACCAGGAUUUGAGCAGUCCGUGUGCAUUCGAAUGGUGUAGCAAAAGAGAAUACGAUUCUCUUCUCGCAGACCAUACUUGCUUGCAACAGGAUGCUCCCAGCAGUACUUCGUUAGCUAUCAAGAGACUUUCUCUUCAAUUUGCAGGCUAGAGAAUGUGCGCUUUAUAUUGGUCUUAGUAGGAGAGCUUGGUCUGUAUCUGCGUCAGAUAGACGUAUUUACCGCGUACUUAAACAGCAACUUUGGUGAGACGGUAUUCAUGAAGCAACCGGAGGGGUAUAUCGAUCAAAGUCGACCUGGAAAAUGCUGCUUUUUAACAAUGCGAUAUACGGAUUGAAGUAGUCAGGAAGGGAAUGGAAUUCCAUGCUUGACAGUACACUGGUAAAGCUUGGCUUCAUUGCCUGUAAGAACGAACUAUGUCUUUACAAGCAGACUGGAUAUGAAAGCCUCUCGCUAGUUCAUGUAUAUGUUGAAAAUAUCCUGGUAGCCUGACAAGGCUCACUAAACCUUUCUUGGGCAUGGAGAUUGUGCGUGAGGGAGAGCUAGGGGCAAUUUCUCCGGACCAUUCGCAGUACUAAUGUGACUUGCACUUACAAUCACGCCGGACAUUUUGCAAUCCGUUUCUAACCUGGCUCAACUGAAUCAGGAUCCACAUACCGAACACCUGGCCGGUAAAAAGCAUGUGGUAGUUAUUUUGCAUCAACAGUGGACAUGAAGCUACACUACAGACAGUGUGGUCAACCCUUACUUGGUUACAUAGACGCGCAUUGGGCCGGUGACAAAAUCGACAAGAAGUAUUAUAGCGGGUACUACCAAGUUAGGUCUAAUUUCUUGCCGUAAUGAAAAUCAGCGAUGUGUCGCCCUUAACAUUAACCAGUGGAGUAUAUAGCGCUAUUAUCAGCUUACAAGGAGGCCAUUCUGAUAAGCAGACUGAUAAACGAAAUUGGUUGCGAAAACGAAAAGUCUUCAAUCAUUGUGAACGGCGAAUUUAAGUUCCCAAGCUCUGACCAAAAGUCAAGUUCUUUAUUCCAGAAGAAAAUAUAUUUAUAUACGCGAUCAUUUUGUAAGCCAAGUUGUCAAUGAAGGUCAAGUUUUAUUAAGGCUUAAGUGUACUAAAUAAAUGAUUGCUGUUAUUUUGACUAAAAA